GGGCCUGUAGUCGAAUGGUAAGACGUCGCCCUUACACGGCGAAGACUGAGAGUUCGAUUCUCUCCGGGCCCA
rnacentral:tRNA from 1 species